rnacentral:lncRNA from 1 species
GGAAGAUACUUCAAGACUGAAAGUACUUUCAUCUGCACAGGACUGGGCUGGUCAACAUUCCAUAGUGAAUGGGAGAGGCGGUCAUGAGGUUCCUGUGUUCCCCAAAGGACUAGUGGCAGUUCAUAAAUGCUGGGAAAGGCUUCAUUUUUCUUUGGUGGUAUAGCCACUGAAACAGAGCUCAUGCCUGGGUGCCGGUCAGGGUUGGUGAGGUGGCUCAGCAGGUCGAAGAGCACUUGCCUGAUGACUCGUGUUGGAUCACAGGAACUCACAUAGUGGAAGGAGAGAACCAAUUCCCACAUGCUAGCCUCUGCCUGCCGUAUCAGAUAUACACGAUGAAUAAAGAAAGUUUCGUUAUUAUAGUCAAGCCACCAUACUCAUAGAAUUCUUGGUAAAUGCCUGGCCAUCUUCAGAGCAGCCGUGUAAGAUGUCAUCAUAUCCACACUUCAGAGCCAGGAUUCCAGUGAUCUGAGGAACUCCAAAGUCAAAGCCUUCAUCGUGCAAACAGUGAAGAUGGUCAAACGUGCGGGUUAGGGUCUGAAGGUGCAAAGCAAGUCGUGAAGGACAUGCAGGUAUUCAUGCUCAGUACACUCAGCUACUGUGAUGGUGACUUUUAUGUCAUUAUUUCCAUUCAUCUCGGUUACUGACACUUUUUCAGGACGGGGUCCCACUUCUAAAAUUUUGGGGAUUAAAUUAGGUGGUAUUUUUUUCUUGUCUUUGUGCACUAAUAAAGAUCCAUAAAACUUGAACAAAAAUAAAUACAACUUUUAACAGGCAGUGGUGAUGAACACCUUUAAUCCCAGCACUCUGGAGGCAGAGGCAGGCAGAUCUUUGAGUUCAAGGCCAGACUGGACAGAACAAAUUCUAGGAUAACCCAGGCUACACAGAG